rnacentral:rRNA from 1 species
AUGACGCGGAAGAAAGGGGAUCACGUACAUGUGGAGGCGUCCUUAUGGGGCGAGGAGGAGGCGGCGGGCCAGCAGAGGAUGGCCCUCCAGAUCCCGGAGAGGUUGGUGAGGAAGCCGACGAAGAGGAAGACGCAGGCGAGGCCGACGACCCAGGGCAUGAGGAAGAAGCCGAGCAUGAAGGUGACGGAGCCGCAGAGCAUGAGCGCCAUGGAGGCGCCGAGCAUCAUGGACGCCACCCCGGCCGCCGUCACCUGCCGCGGCGGCCCCUGCCCCUCCUCCCCCGGCCCGAGCGGCGACCGGAGGAUCGUCAGCAGCAGCGCGCCCAGCUCGUAG